GAUGGUCCUGCUCCGGGAAGACCCAAAGAAACCCAGAGCACAGUCAGAGUGCCAGCACAGGUUGAAGGAGAGGUGUAAGGAGAAGGGGAGGUUGUGAGAAGUGCAAUGGCUAUAGGAGGCGGGAGAGGAGAGAGAGCAUGUCCUGUGAGUGCAUUGGGAGGGAUAGGAGGGAGGCUACUUGGCCCUUCCCCAGCACAGGUGGAGGAAGGAAAUAUGGAUAGCUGGGACAGAGUGGAGAUCAAUGCCAAUGACUCAAAAUGCAGGCCCAAAACAAAGUUUGUUAGCUCCCCACGGUGUGGUCACUACUGAAGCCAUGUCACUUUGACAGAAGAAGGAGGACCACCCGGGGCAUCCCGCAGCAAGGCGUGGUUGGAAUAGCCUUCAUCAGGGCUCCCAUUGGCCACUCUUGCCAAUGGUUAACAGAGUAGCUCUGACUCACUGGGGAUGAUGGUGUUCCUCCCAGCCUAACAGAUCCCUAAGCUGGGCCCUUUUCCCUUUUUCUUUCCCCUCCUGGCCAUCCUGAUUCAAUGGGAAGUCUGGGUGCAUGGCUGAAGAUCCCAACACUACAUUGCGAGCUGAGGAUGUCCCACGCAGUUGCCAAAGUAGAGUGGGCUGGGUCUCUUUCCCAGACCCUAUGUUAGAAAUGUAAUUUAUUCAUUUAUUUUUGCUUUUACUUAUUAUAUGUAUAUGGGGCCGGGUAACACACAUGACAUUGUGCAUAUUUGGAGGUUGGAGAACACUUUGUGAGAGUCAGUUCUCAACUACCAGGUGAGUUCCAGGGAUUGGUGGCAGUCAGGCUUGGUAGCAAGCACUCUUACCUGCUGAGCCAUCUCAGCAGCCCUCAAAGAUAUUUUCAGUGUGACUUUGCUGUCAUUAAGGGUUUCAUGUAGAAUCCAUGUGCUGUCAUUAGGGUUGCGUGUAGAAUCCAUCACCUUUACUCUUUCUGAAAUAGUCAACUUCCCUGGAGGCCACCACUCAAAGUUUUUACUGUCCCAGACUCCCAUGGCUUCACUUGGUAUACACAUUUAAACAAUAUUAUGAAAGAUAUGGUGUCAUUAUAUUCUGUUUAUAAUUAAUGAUUCAUAACUAAUAUAAAUAACACAUGUCAAAAUUUAACUGUGUAUUAAUAUAUCACAAAAUACAUAUGUAUAUUGAUAUAGUUGCAAUAAAAUAGUACAUAAUCC
rnacentral:lncRNA from 1 species